rnacentral:misc_RNA from 1 species
GCGUUCUCUUUCGCGGCUCUGCUCCGCGGAUCAGGCCCGAGAGAGUGGGGCUCUAGCACACCGGUGUAUUAUCGGCACCGUUGCGCGUGUGUUUUGGGAUGCGAACCGGCCGCCCGCCCUGGGAUUCCUGCCGCGGCCCAAUGACCGAACUCUGACGGCUUCCCCGUGUCGCCGAGCGGGGCGUCGAGAAGACCUCGCGUCCCAUGAGAAGACCGGAGCGUAAGCGCCCCGCAGCAGCAGCACCGAGCGCCGCCGCGGUGGGCCUCUUCGAUCCCGUGGCUGCUCUGCUGCUCCUCCGUCGUCGACCGCACCGAUGCGCGCCGGGCCGGCCUGCCGCUGUGCGCGAUUGAACCGACGCCGCCGCCGGCUCUGAACAAGAUCCUAGCCCUGAGGGCAAACUGUGCGCUACCCCCGGCUUCGCGACGUGACGUGCCUGUUUUGCCUGCAAUUCCCUUUCGCUACACAUACGCGCACAGCCUCGCUGCUGCUUUUCGUUUCCUCGGCCGCCUCCCCACCCCCUCUACUCGGCGUAUCCUCUCCUCCCCCCUUCCCCAAAAUUUCCCGCUCGCGUUGGUGUGUGCGGUGCUCGUAUGACAAGGAUGGCCCGUAGAGAUCGGCCGGCAAGAAGGCCUCCUCGCAAGCCUGCGACGCCGAAACGGCAGCACCAUCCCGGCGUUGCGUUCGGGAGUCGCGCGUCGACCCGUGGAGCGGCCACUGCAGCGGCGGCCUCCGGCGGCCUGCCCGAAGGCGCUAACCCUCGUCCCAAACUCCAGCGCCGCUAAGCCUGUGCGAGCCGCGGUCUGCCGUUGGCCGUCAGCGGUCGCCGCCCGGCGGGACUCGGGCCUCACAGACGACGGCCCUGUGGGCCGUCCGCCGCUACCGGGACUCGAGGGGAACCCACGCUAGCAGAGUGUACGCUUUUAGGCCUGACUGAGAAAAAGAGGGGGAGGAGGAGGCGGCUCUCCGCCGUUUUGUGUUGUUUCUUUCCGCCCCGUCGGAGACCGGUGGCCGCGGGGGCGACGCGCGUGCCCAAGCCUCCCGGCGGCCGCGGUCCUCGCGUCGGCGUGUUCGCCCGGCGGUACCUGCCGCAGAGCACGGCCGGCGGCGCUCAAACGGUGCGGUGACAUGGCAAGCUGGCGUCGGGCCGGGGACUGACGCGUCCCGCCGCCGCCGACAGCCUCCGCCGCCGGGUCGGGUGCGUCGCGUCGUCGUCGUCGGACGCGACAUCGGCGUCGUCCGUCUCCCGCGGGGUUUCAAGACGCCGCUGGGACGCGGCCCUGUCAUCGCCACCGGCUCGCUGAGCGCAAGCGGUGGCGAGCUGCUUUCGGUGCUGCAGAAACAUGGCUUCGUCGGCAGCCAGGCCUAACAUGGGCGUCGGUUCGAGCGAGCCGCAGCAGUGCUCCGAGCCCGAAGAGGAAGCCAGUCCGACGUCGGCCGCUGGCGCUGAGGGCUCCUCCUCCCAGCAGCAGGACGAACAGCAGCAGCAGCAGCAACAACAACAACAGCAGCAGCCGGAGUACGAGACAGGCCACGGCCACUACUUCACCAAGCGGACUUUCCACAAGCCCACGUACUGCCAUCACUGCACCGAUAUGCUCUGGGGACUCAUAGGUCAAGGGUACAUUUGCGAAGUUUGUAAUUUUGUAGUUCACGACAGAUGCCUCAAGACUGUGGUUUCUCCUUGUUCAACUAUUGCAAUCAAUGUAAUCAAAAACCCAGUGCCCCACUGCUGGACGGAAGCAGGUCACCUCAAAAGAAAAUUUUGCAACGUCUGCAGGAAACGAAUCGAGGACAACUGCGCAGUUAGGUGUGAAGUUUGUGAAUACUGUGUGCAUUUGGAGUGCCAAGACUUCAGCGUUGCGGACUGCAAACAAUGUGCUACCUAUGCUCCAAGUAGAAAUAAACCGUCGGUGAUGCAGUUCCACCAUUGGCGAGAAGGCAACUUACCCGCCAAUUCCAAGUGCCAGCUGUGUAAGAAGACCUGCUGGUCGGCCGAGUGUCUGGCCGGUAUGCGCUGCGAGUGGUGUGGCGUUACGGCGCACGCCACGUGCUACCGGACCCUGUCCCAGGAGUGCAACUUCGGCGUCCUGGAGAGCAUCAUGCUUCCUCCGGCGGCCGUCAGCAUUCCGCGCACGGACGUUCCCCUGGAAACCAUCAUCGGAGUGGAGAUGCGCAGGAGAGAGACGCUAGCGCGGGCCACUUACCCCAGCAUAGCAAGAAGCAUAUCGGAGGAAUUCUCAUCGACAGGGGACCUCAAAAGCAAAGAAUUUGAUGAUUAUCCGUCACCAAAAGAAAAAGAUAAAGAUGAAGAAAUAAUCAAAGUAUACGACGGUAACGCCUCAAUGAAGAGAAGGAUGUUCAGGACAAUCACUGUAUCACGCAAUGCAACUAGGGAACAAAUCAUCGGUGCUGCAUUGCGAGCAUUCCAUAUAUCUGGAGAUCCAAAGCACUACUACAUAACCGAUGUGUAUGACCAAAACGAGAAAGAACUGGGCGACUUCAUGCCGGUGCAAAGCCUGACUCGGAGGGAAGGGAAGCGGCCUGCCAUUUUCCUCAGGUAUCGACCUCCCAACCCGGACCAGGGAUACGUCAAGGUCUUCCCCGGAAAGCUCAGGUCUGCGGACAUUUACCGCGUGAUUUCAGUGACAAGUGACACGAGCGUAGAAGAAAUUAUGAUCCAGGCUCUCGAAAAAUUCGGACUGGACUCUUCGGACAUCAACAAGUUUAGGCUAUCCGAAGUCACGCUAGACAAAGGAUCUGUUCAUGAAAGAGUGAUGGACAAUCAAGAAGGUCCUUGGGUGUUGCUUAAAAACAUUGCCAGAGAGUCGAUACGACAGAAAGACCUGACCAGGUUCUACCUCCAGCAAAAAGAGGACUGCUACAGUUCUAGUGUUGCCCUUUUCGUUGGAAACCUUCCUCCAAAUUUAUCCCAGAGGCAGUACGAAAAAAUUUUAGUAGACCUUUUAGGAAAACCUUAUAAAUUCAAGCAAAUAGGCCCCAUUUAUUAUGAGUACGGUUCCCUGAUCAUCACCUACGACAAUGCUGACAUAGCAGUGAAGGCUUUUUACAUGCUGAGGGAGUCGAGCUUCGAAGACAAAAACCUCCUUGUCCUUCUCCUGCCCAACACCAUCCCAGAAAUGAUCCCCGAAGGUGUCAGGCCAUUACUGGUAUUCGUGAACGUGAAAAGCGGUGGAUGCCAGGGCCUGGAACUGAUCACAUCCUUUCGUAAAAUGCUGAACCCUUACCAAGUCUACGACUUGGAGAAUAGCGGACCGUUACCUGGGCUGUACGUGUUUCGACACGUGCGCGACUACAAGAUCUUGGUGUGCGGCGGCGACGGCACCGUCGGCUGGGUGCUCCAGUGCCUGGACAACGUUGGCCAGGACUCCGAGUGCCAGUCCCCGCCGUGCGCCAUCGUGCCGUUGGGCACGGGCAACGACCUGGCGCGAGUACUGCGCUGGGGACCCGGCUACACUGGUGGCGAGGACCCCCUCACUCUGCUCAAGGACGUCAUCGACGCCGAGGAGAUUCGCCUGGACAGGUGGACGGUGGUCUUCCACUUGGAUGACAAGCCGGAUGACAAGCCCGGCUCACUCACCAACAGCUCGGGGUCCACUUCGGAGGACACCACGGCCAUAUUCGUCAUGAACAAUUACUUUGGCAUAGGCAUCGACGCAGACCUUUGCCUCGACUUCCACAACGCCCGAGAAGAGAACCCAAACAAGUUCAACAGCAGACUUCACAACAAGGGCGUGUACGUGAAGAUGGGUCUCCGCAAAAUGGUGAGCAGGAAGACCUGGAAGGAUCUGCACAAGGAAAUCGAUCUUGAAGUGGACGGCAAAACGGUCGAUCUGCCCCCUGUAGAGGGUAUCAUUAUUCUCAACAUUCUCAGUUGGGGUUCCGGUGCUAACCCCUGGGGGCCCGAGAAGGAGGACAUGUUCUCGAAACCGACGCACUACGACGGUAUGCUCGAGGUCGUUGGCGUCACGGGAGUCGUCCACAUGGGCCAGAUUCAGAGCGGGCUGCGCAGCGCCAUCCGCAUCGCGCAGGGGGGACACUUGCGGAUAAAGCUACACACAGAAAUGCCCGUUCAAGUCGACGGCGAGCCUUGGAUCCAGGCGCCUGGCGAAGUCGUCGUGCUCAGAUCGGCCUUGAAGAACCUGCUUAUGGCUUUAGGAUCAACGAGUACGCCACCUGAAUGACUGCAACACUUUUGUAAUACAGGUUCUCAAAGGUGUCCUGGUAAUGAAUUGGUUUCACCACUUACGGCACCAGUGUUGCAGUAAGAGCUCCGUAGCCGUGGCCCAGUGGGUACGACACCUGGCUCGACUGCAGGAAGUGUGUGGUUCAAGCAGACCCUGGGCCAGGCAUCCUGCUUUCCAGACGGGUUUCGCUUGAAAGAAGUUUGUACAGACUGCUAUGAUUGUUGUGCAACAACUUAGACCAACAAAACACCACGCAAAUCUCAGCAAGGAGUCUGGUGGUUCCAUGUUGCUAACUUCCCAUCAGAGAUGACUGGUCACAACUCGCCUCGGCCAUGGAGUGCCCUGCCUGCAGUCCCUUGCAUUGCUGGACCUUUGUGAGCGACUUAUGAUGGGUCGAGAGCAUGGAGUUACACGAGGUCAGCUGAACUGUCCUCAGCUUUCUCUUGUGCAUUCUUCUAUUUUUAAUUUUGUUUCAGCUCUGCAGAACAUUCCACUACUGUGGCUUAUUGUCGUUUGUUGCCCUCGACGGUUUGACUGGGGUGAAAAUAAACAUCUUUAGUUAAAAAAA